UAUUGGUCAAUGGAGGGAACUCUGAACCAGCCAUGCCGCGUGCAGGAAGACGGCCCUACGGGUUGUAAACUGCUUUUAUACGGGAAUAAACCCCGGUAUGUAUACCGGGCUGAAUGUACUGUAAGAAUAAGGAUCGGCUAACUCCGUGCCAGCAGCCGCGGUAAUACGGAGGAUCCGAGCGUUAUCCGGAUUUAUUGGGUUUAAAGGGUGCGUAGGCGGCCUGUUAAGUCAGGGGUGAAAUUUUUCGGCUCAACCGGAAGCUUGCCUUUGAUACUGAUGGGCUUGAUUACACUUGAGGUAGGCGGAAUGUGACAAGCAGCGGUGAAAUGCAUAGAUAUGUCACAGAACACCAAUUGCGAAGGCAGCUUACUAAGGUGUCAAUGACGCUGAGGCACGAAAGCGUGGGGAUC
rnacentral:rRNA from 1 species